UCCCCGCACCGCGGCAGCACACGAACGGCCACCGCCACCCAUUCUUCCCCACCGCCCACGAGCCCGGGACGCCGCACCCAUGACCGCGUCCUGCGCCGCCGCGUACCGCGUGUGCUCCCGCUUCGCGAGCCGGCACUGGAGCCCCGACGAUGACCCGCACGCCCUUCCUCAGCACCAUGGCCGCAUAACGCGCGUGCUGCCGCUCCGCUUGCUUUAUUGGAGCCCCGAUGGCGACCUCCGCACACCACUCUUCAGCCUCGUACCGCGCCACGACGCCAUCGAGCUGCCUCACGGUCUCCGCCAAUAGCACCCAGACUCAAGGUACGCAUGGGAUGGGGGAUGCAGGGGCAGCUCGGCGCGGUGGGCGGGUGCUCCUCCAGGUAGCUGGAUUCAUGGAGGCGGGCGAUGUUUCCAUAGCGUUCAGGGCAAAUCUCCACGAUGCCCCAUCUGGCAAUUUCAUGCAGUGGAAACUAUAGAUCGGGGAUGGUGAUGUAAGGGGCAAGCUCGGAGGUGCUGAUGCGGGUGAAUUCAAUUGUUGGAGGUGGAGCUGAUGCACACAAAGAGGGAGAAGCCCAAAUUGAGUAGGACGGAGGAGGAGGAGCUCCGCACAUAAUGAAAUUAAAGGUGUGCUGAUGAUGGUGCAAAUUAAAGGUGUGCUGAUGAUGGUGCGGCUGCAGUAGGCGAGCCGGAGAGGGCGCUAGACAAGUCUGAUGCCUUGGCUCCGAUUCCAAGGUCAGCAUUCCCCUUUGAAUAGGGAUCACUUGAUUUACUAGAUAAGAAUUGUGCUUGUUUUUUCAACCUGUUUCUGGGAGUUGGAUGAAAUUAUUGCAGGUUGUGGACUUGGGAAUUCAAGUAUGUAUUAAGUUGUUGGACUAGAUACAGUAGCCUUAAGGACUGAACUCUAUAGAGCUAAUGGAGGAUACAGUGUGUGUGUACACGUGCAUUUGCUCAUAAGUUCGAUCACUCGCAAAAUGAAUCCGUGCUAAUUCUUUUGGGGAGUACCAUAUACUGAACUCGGUAGGAGCAAACAAGGAAAGCCAAUUUAGUGGGUGUGGACUCUCCUCAAUUCCACAGUAAAAAUGGGGCGGAUUAGCCUCCUCUCCCUCUUUUCACUAUGCUCCCUCUAUGUCCUAAUCGAAGCCUCCCUCCAUUAUAUUUGCUGAUGCUUUUAGGUUUUGUUGAUUUUUUUUGUUAGUGCGUUGAUCAGUGAGCGGCGGGAGAAGGUCCCCUGCACAUUGGCAUCCUGUGCAUGGUGCGCCGAAACGCGAGCAGGUUAAGAUGAGCUUUCUCUCCAUCUUCUCUGCCCGCGGCACAUCCAAAAUUGUGCUCACCUGUGUGUCCAAUCAAGUCAUCAGCAGAGUAUGCGCUUGGAUCAUUUUGAGUAAACAUUGCUGUUCCUAAUCGCUGGUCUACAACAGUACAUGGGGAUGGAGGGCAACAAGCUGUAUCUACCAAAUCAGUUCAGAAACAUCAACGCACAGUUUAGUUUUGUCUGUCAAAAACAACUUUUUCAGCAUCACAAAACAGAUGUGUGUCCUGGAGAGAUGUGAUUAUCCUGGGAGCAUAUGCUUCUUUUGUAGUUGCUUCGUUGUAAUUGAUUGAUUAUAUAUUUUUACCAAAAAAAGGAAAGAUAUAUGUACAUAAUUUGUCUUUUUCCUUGGAGCAGUCUCUGUUGUUGUAGUUGCUUCGUUGUAAUUGAUUGAUUAUAUAUUUUUACCAAAAAAGAAAAGAUAUUUGUACA